rnacentral:rRNA from 1 species
CCCUUAGAUGUUCUGGGCCGUACGCGCGCUACACUGACGGAUUCAACGAGCUUACAACCUUGGCCGAAAGGUCUGGGUAAUCUCCAAAAUCCGUCGUGAUGGGGAUAGAUUAUUGCAAUUAUUAAUCUUCAACGAGGAAUGCCUAGUAAGCGCAAGUCAUCAGCUUGCGUUGAUUACGUCCCUGCCCUUUGUACACACCGCCCGUCGCUCCUACCGAUUGAAUGGUCCGGUGAAGCGUUUGGACUAUGGUUUUCUGAUGGUCCGCCGUUGGAUUACCGUGGGAAGUUCGUUAAACCUUAUCAUUUAGAGGAAGGAGAAGUCGUAACA